CAGUCGCCACGGUAAUACGGAGGGUGCAAGCGUUAAUCGGAAUUACUGGGCGUAAAGCGCACGCAGGCGGUCUGUCAAGUCGGAUGUGAAAUCCCCGGGCUCAACCUGGGAACUGCAUUCGAAACUGGCAGGCUAGAGUCUUGUAGAGGGGGGUAGAAUUCCAGGUGUAGCGGUGAAAUGCGUAGAGAUCUGGAGGAAUACCGGUGGCGAAGGCGGCCCCCUGGACAAAGACUGACGCUCAGGUGCGAAAGCGUGGGAGCAAACAGGAUUAGAUACCCGAGUAGUCCCUGUCUCUUAUACC
rnacentral:rRNA from 1 species